UCUCCGAAUAUCAGCAAGAGCGUAUCUAUCCUUAGUUUGCGUUUCACAAUCACGGAUAAGUGCUAUCUCUUUUUAACCAACAGUAGAUAGCUUCUUCCCUCCGAUUUAUCCGAGCCUCUUGAUACGUUUCGUUCUACUACAAAUACGAAACAACAUCAGGAUCAAGACUUAUUUUAUUUUAUUCUAAAUUAAAACUAUAAUUUAACCAGCAUAUUGUAGACUAUCAUAAACACAUUUGUUUAUAACAAAAAGUAAUAAAAACAUAUGUAGAUUUUUUUAAAUUGGACGUAUUGCUAUUUUUAUCCUAGUCGAAAUUAUGAAACGAAACGUUUUGACAGUCCGUUUUGCCAAUAAGCAGUGAUCAGUUUCUUUUGUUUGUUUUUCUAUUGUUUACCUACUAUAUUAGAUGAUGACUUACCUCCAAAACGCUUUAAAACUUUCGUUUAUAAUUCUAAGUGUGUUUAUAAUUAAAGAGCUACAGUGAAAUAAAAUGAAUUCUUCAAGAAAGGCAGCACCCAUGACAAAAGAUGAGACGAUGAUUCUAGCAGAACUUGUGGCGGCGAAAAAACAUUUCAAUAAUAAGGCAAUAAAUGCCACAAACAAUAAAUUGAAGGAGCAGGCUUGGCAAACCCUUGUAAAUGAUUUUAAUUCGUUGAUUCGUCGUUUCCCACGAACUCCAUUGCAGCUUCGACUAAAAUGGGAAAACUUAAAGAACGCUACGGCAACAUAAGAAACAACCUUAGUAAGGCUGGAGGUGGUAAGGAUUGCAGAUGAAAUUUUGGAUAAAGCAUGCACAUUGUUGUAGGUCACAUAUAAUAUUUUUAACACUUUUACAGCCAAGCGGAAACAAGAUGGAAGAAAAGAAAUGCAAGGCUAGCAUAGGGACAAUGCAUUAGCAGAAUAUCUAAUAGCAAAAAGAGACUUGGAAAAUAAAGAAAAGGAGAUUGUUGUAGCAAAAGUUAAGUUAGAUUUAGAUAAUUUAAAAAAUUAAAAAUUACUUAAAAGGAAUAUUAAAUUUCAUUAAUUAAGUAGGCAAUAAUAAUUUUAUGUUAGAUAGUUUUUUAAGCAUAUGUACAAAUUCUAAAUUAAAUAUCUUGCAUGUACUAACUACCAUGUAAUUAUCAUUUUGGAAAAUAAAAAAUAGUCAAAUUAU